rnacentral:rRNA from 1 species
GAUGAACGCUGGCGGCGUGCCUAAUACAUGCAAGUCGAGCGAACAGACGAGGAGCUUGCUCCUCUGACGUUAGCGGCGGACGGGUGAGUAACACGUGGAUAACCUACCUAUAAGACUGGGAUAACUUCGGGAAACCGGAGCUAAUACCGGAUAAUAUAUUGAACCGCAUGGUUCAAUAGUGAAAGACGGUUUUGCUGUCACUUAUAGAUGGAUCCGCGCCGCAUUAGCUAGUUGGUAAGGUAACGGCUUACCAAGGCAACGAUGCGUAGCCGACCUGAGAGGGUGAUCGGCCACACUGGAACUGAGACACGGACCAGACUCCUACGGGAGGCAGCAGUAGGGAAUCUGCCGCAGUGGGCGAAAGCCUGACGGAGCAACGCCGCGUGAGUGAUGAAGGUCUUCGGAUCGUAAAACUCUGUUAUUAGGGAAGAACAAAUGUGUAAGUAACUAUGCACGUCUUGACGGUACCUAAUCAGAAAGCCACGGCUAACUACGUG